rnacentral:rRNA from 1 species
AGUGAACGCUGGCGGUAGGCCUAACACAUGCAAGUCGAACGGCAGCACAGUAAGAGCUUGCUCUUACGGGUGGCGAGUGGCGGACGGGUGAGGAAUACAUCGGAAUCUACUUUUUCGUGGGGGAUAACGUAGGGAAACUUACGCUAAUACCGCAUACGACCUACGGGUGAAAGCAGGGGAUCUUCGGACCUUGCGCGAUUGAAUGAGCCGAUGGCGGAUUAGCUCGUUGGCGGGGUAAAGGCCCACCAAGGCGACGAUCCGUAGCUGGUCUGAGAGGAGGAUCAGCCACACUGGAACUGGAACACGGUCCAGACUCCUACGGGAGGCAGCAGUGGGGAACAUUGGACAAUGGGCGCAAGCCUGAUCCAGCCAUACCGCGUGGGUGAAACAGGCCUUCGGGUUGUAAAGCCCUUUUGUUGGGAAAGAAAAGCAGCAGGUUAAUACCCCGCUGUUCUGACGGUACCCAAAGAAUAAGCACCGGCUAACUUCGUG